GAUGAACGCUGGCGGCGUGCUUAACACAUGCAAGUCGAACGAUGAAGGAGGAGCUUGCUCCUCUGGAUUAGUGGCGAACGGGUGAGUAACACGUGAGCAAUCUGCCCUUGACUCUGGGAUAAGCGCUGGAAACGGCGUCUAAUACCGGAUACGACCCUCGGAGGCAUCUCCUGUGGGUGGAAAGAACUUCGGUCAAGGAUGAGCUCGCGGCCUAUCAGCUUGUUGGUGAGGUAAUGGCUCACCAAGGCGACGACGGGUAGCCGGCCUGAGAGGGUGACCGGCCACACUGGGACUGAGACACGGCCCAGACUCCUACGGGAGGCAGCAGUGGGGAAUACUGCACAAUGGGCGCAAGCCUGAUGCAGCAACGCCGCGUGAGGGACGACGGCCUUCGGGUUGUAAACCUCUUUUAGCAGGGAAGAAGCGAGAGUGACGGUACCUGCAGAAAAAGCACCGGCUAACUACGUGCCAGCAGCCGCAGUAAGAC
rnacentral:rRNA from 1 species